GACGAACCGUCCGACCGUUAUUCGGAAUCACUGGGCUUAAAGGGUGCGUAGGCGGCGCGGAAAGUUGGGUGUGAAAUCCCUCGGCUCAACCGAGGAACUGCGCCCAAAACUACCGUGCUCGAGGGAGAUAGAGGUGAGCGGAACUUAGGGUGGAGCGGUGAAAUGCGUUGAUAUCCUAAGGAACACCGGUGGCGAAAGCGGCUCACUGGAUCUCUUCUGACGCUGAGGCACGAAAGCUAGGGUAGCGAACGGG
rnacentral:rRNA from 1 species